rnacentral:tRNA from 1 species
GAUACCGUGGCUCAAUGGUAGAGCGUUCGACUUAAAUACCAAAGUUCGUGGGUUCGAAUCCCAGGUUUUU